CCAAUAGUUCACUGACCAAAAUGCCCUUAAACUUGCUUUCAUUUUCGGAUUCCCUCCUUCGUGCUUUCUUUUUCCUUUCACCCCGUGGAAAACCCUAACUCUUACAGUCUUACUCCAUCUCUUCCGCCCCCAUUUUCUCCCUCCUCUCCCUUCUUCGAUUUCCGCCAUUGAAAUUCGCUCUCUUCCCUUUUCCUCAUCUCUCCUGCAAUUCAUACUCCAUAGACUUGGCGAUGCUUUUCAUCUUCCACAAAAAUGGUGUCCGGUGGAUCGAUAGUGCCGCAUCAACUUCACUUUACGAAGCUCUCUCGUCUUUCCGUCUUCAUUUUCGCUCUUUCUAAUGUUACAAGAUGUUUGGGAUUCAAAAGCUGGUGCUAAACUUCUUGACUUGGAUCUUCUCAAGGGGCAAUUCCGGUGAUAGUAAGCUCACCAAAGAUGGAAACACCUUUUGAGAGAAAUGGGCUCAAUUCUAAAACAUUCUCCAUCUUCGGUUUCGUCUUCCUUCAACCUCCUCUUCUCUCACCGCCACUUUCCUGAUGAGGACCGAUGUUCCUUCCUCAACAAAUCUGAGGUUGUUGAUCGUGUCAUUACCUCGCCAAGAACUUCCAGAAAGUUGACCCUUCCAAGGUUUGAGUUUUAAUCUCAAUUUUUUCAAUUAUUUUAUUUAGAAAUGUCAAUUAAUGGUCUAUUUAAUUUGAUAAAUCGGCAUAAGUAGCUUGUUGGAGUCAGCCUUUUAGGGUUCUUAUGUCUGAUUUUAUUGCAAGCGUCAGUCAUUGAUUAAUUGGUUUUAGAAUAAUUAAUUCAGGGGUUUUUAAUUUUUGUUGUUGUUGUUGUUGGGGUCAAUUUCGAGUAUCGGUAUGAAAUUGAACAAGUCGAUGUGUAUUUUGAUGGUUGUUCGUUUGAAUACAAGUAGGAUUAGAAGAAUAAAGAAGUGUUCUGUAGGAAGUUUUAGUUGUAAGUGGAAUAGGAGGGCACAAACAUUAGCUUACUUAACUUAUUUUAUGUUUUGUAAGUCGACACCGGGAAGAACAACGAACAUAAUGUAGUAUCCAAAACGUUUUUGCUAGCUGUUGACCAGUUGCGUUAUUUGUGUUCAUAAGUUGCUUGAUAUAAAGAGCUUUCCCCUCACCAUCGUCGAUGGUAUAGUGGGGAAAAUUGGAUAUGAGAUGUACAUAUUUUAGGUGAUUUGAUCACUUUUUGAGUGAUUGUGCAUGUAUGUGUUUUUACUUUUGUUACCUCUGGUUUGUGUUGCUUUCAGAGAAUUUGAUUUCACUUUUAUCAUUUAUGUAGAAUCAUUUCUCUUGCAUUUGAUUUGUAAUUGUCAAGAAAAGGCCAAAUAUUUCCUCACUUUCCUUCGCUGAUGUUUAAAAUCUUUCUCAUAGCCCCUUUUGAGUGCGGGUCGUUUCAGUUUUCAUAUUGAUUGUUAGGUUUACCAUGGUUAGCCCUCUUCUUUGCUCACGUUGUUUAUAUAUUUGAAGAUAUCAAUGCCUGGUCUUUCAGGCUUGAUAUCUCUUGUAUUACAUUCUAGAAGCUUUAUAUCCUCUCAGUUUGUUUCUUUGGGCUGCUAAAGUUUGGUUCUUUGACUUUGUUUUGUGUUUUUUGAAAUCAUAUCCAGUGCGCAUGAGCUCAAUAGGGAGAAGAACAUGUCUAUUCCUCAAUUUGAACCGUGCAGAUGCACGUCGAUGUUUUCUAUGCUGGGAUGAACCAACUUCUAAAGGGGAAGAAGGCAUUUAAUAAUUGAUUUACUUCAAUUGACUUAGAAAAAAUAAUUGAUUGGAAUCUCACCACUGCAGCAAAAUAUGUAAGUUUCUUUGUUGGUCUUAAUUUUCUUGUUUGUAAUAAAGUAGGAUACUUUUGGUAGAGUAAUCAUUGAACUACUAUUUUGUGUAUUGCAAUCAAGAGUCACAGCCAAUAUCCUGAAUUUUGGGUAUUGCAACCAGGUGACUUUUGGUGGGGUAGUCAAUUUUCUUUAAUGUUUGACUUGACCAUAUCCUGAAUUCGGGGGCGAUGUGCUGAAUUUCCCUCAACAUCACCAACUGUAUGGGUAAUCUCUCACCAUCUUUAAUUAGAGGAUUUUGGGUGGAUUAAGAUAUUUUUAGAAAAUGAGGUGAAAUAAAGAGAGGGUCAAUGUUGACAGCUAUUGGUUGGAUUUUCAAAGAGAGGUUGCUUCUGACAUGGCUGAAUUUAGUACCUAAUUCAAUCAUUUUUGAAGUUUUAAUGGUUGACGAUGUCUUGGUGUUGACCGUGUCCUUCUUAGACUGUAUUUCUGCAAUACACCUGCUCUUUCCAACAACAACCAGCAAAUAACAGAGAAAAUAGAGCAAAUAACACAGCAAAUGGAAGAGAAUAAUUAUAGAUUUCUGAAUUACUCAAGUGUAAGGUUACAAAAGUAAUAGUUUUAGGCUAUCAAUCUCUUAAUUCAGUGACUUUAGGUCAAAAACUCUCAAUACUCAAUACAAUACACCCUUUUCUCUUUCCUCUCUCUACUAUUUAUAAUUUUAUAUUACUAAGUGCAUUAAUGUUACUCUGCUACUGUUGCUCCGGUUAUCAGGUAGUGGUAACGGCCUUAUGCCCUUAUGUGCCAACUCCUGCCACUUUUGUGUUGUUGCCCUCCUUUUUUGUUGCUCCUCCCUUUUUGUUGCGUUUGCUAUAAACCAAAACAGGUGGGUCAGUGCCUUGUUGGUUUAUUACAGUUUCCUUCCUUGUGCUUGUUUUAAAUGAGUAAGUUACAAUUUGAUGUCUAUCUCUCCCCAAAUCAAAGCCAUUGUGCAAGGUACUAAUUUUUAUAAAUAUAUUUUCCCAUCUUUCUAAUUGUGAGAUUAGAAUUACUGUUUUGGUUUUUCUAGAGCUUCUUCAUUCUUAGUGAUUUUUCUUGUAGUUUUCUUUUCCUGGUAAUAAUAUAUUUUCGUGAUUCACCUCACUCUUUCAGUUCUUCUGAAAAUUAUGGUUUUGAAUUCAUUUCAUUUAAGUUUGAAUUGAUGAGAGACAAAUUAGAGAAAAUGAGAAAAAAUGAUAGAAAGACAUAGCAGCAGAGAGGCAUAGAGAAAAGAAGAUGAGAGAUAGAGGAAGAGAACGAAAAAAUUGAGGACAUAGAGAGAUAAGAGCUAGAGUUACUAAAAUAUUAAACAUAAAAAAUCUGGUGUGCUUCUGAGUUUGAUGCAAAAAUCUGUGUAGUUUGACUGCUUCUUAUGGCAUGGGUCAGACCAAAGAAGUCUACAUGAAAAACACUAGCUACUUUGAUCCCUAUUCCCAAAUCGUGAGAUUAGUAAUUAUAUCUUAAUCUCACAUAACAUUGAGCAUGUUACGUGUAUUAGAGUCAUUUACCAUGUUAAACGUUGAAAUCCCAGCUAAUUAGGUAUGGUAUGUAGGUGAAAUUUUUGUUUUUCUCAUUC